CUGGCAAAGACUCCGAGACAAUCACCAAAGCUGCACCAGUCCAACCUCACGCACCUGGGAAGACCAAGGAAGUAACACUUAAACGAUACAUCCGGAACAACCAGUGUCUUGGCAGAUGCGUGCCUGAAUGUGCAGAAGGUGAACAACAAGGUCCAAAAGUAAUAUGCCAAGUUCAUACUGACAUCUACUGCUGUAAAAAGAAAAAUGAAUGAGGAAAAGAUCACAAGGUCGUUAAUUCUCAAAACAAAUAGAACACAAUCGUCUCCUUUAUGGCAAGCUCAAUCAGGUCCUCUGCCCAACCUUCUAUGUGUGCUGUAAAUGGGAACUUCCAGCUCUAUAAGAUGACGCAGUUGGCCACCAAAUUGUCAGAUGGAAGGCAUCCCACAGAAGAUUUAAGGCUGUUCUAUGGGAUUCCUUAAUCUCAACAGUCCCUGAGGAUUGGGUUCUUUCUUGAGUGACAGUUGGAUAAGCCAAGUGUUUCAGGUGUUCCUUUUCAAAUAAAUCUGCCAUCUGAUCAGAUCCUUCAGGAAGCAAUAUCAUCCAUCUUUACAGUUCAUCAGGCUUUAAUAUGUUUUCCUAAUAAA